AGCUGAUCACUGGGCAUAAAGCGUGCGCAGGCGGUUUUGUAAGACAGAGGUGAAAUCCCCGGGCUCAACCUGGGAACUGCCUUUGUGACUGCAAGGCUGGAGUGCGGCAGAGGGGGAUGGAAUUCCGCGUGUAGCAGUGAAAUGCGUAGAUAUGCGGAGGAACACCGAUGGCGAAGGCAAUCCCCUGGGCCUGCACUGACGCUCAUGCACGAAAGCGUGGGGAGCAAACA
rnacentral:rRNA from 1 species